CUACAGCCGCUUAAAAAACAUGCAACAACAAAAAAAAACUUACCGCAGAUAGGUGUAGGACUUUUGUCGUCUUUUUCGAUAAUGUUGUCCUCAAGCAAGUCUUCGGUGUAGAGAGUAUUUUGUGGGAAAAACCCCUCUUCUUUCACCGCGAGCAAGCCUUCAGCCUCCGCUGGAACGUCAUUGUUCUUCAAUGUCAACCUCCUCGACACUUUUUGGCGGGAGACCCGUUAAAGGCGUCCAACGCGCCAGAGGCGUAAAAGAAACAUCUGAACCACCACCACCGGAGUAAACACCCCGCAUUCAGAGUUAAAAGACUCCAAAGAAAAGACGUCUGGUUCGGUCGACUGAGGCUGAUAGGAUCCGUUGAUUUUAGGAGCACGGAGACUGGCACAGAAAAACCAACGACAUGAGGCCAAAAAAUCCUACUUUUCCGAGGAGCGUCGUAGUAACCCCUUCUCCUCUCUGUUGGGCGAGGCUCCGUUUGGGAUCCAUUUCUACGACAGUCGCCCGGACGGAAGACCACCCGUGUCGGACAAAGUGCUGAACCAGGUAGGAGGAGUCAGGCUGGCCCUGGGCCGCCAGGACGUUGUCCGCCUGGAGGUUUUGGAGGUUCUGGUGGACCAGCGCAGACGAAAGCGUCAGCAGACCGAAGGCCCAGCAGGAGAGCAGCAAAGAUCUCGCCAUUUUGGAGUGACUGUGGUGCUGCUUAAACUUUUUUCAGUCAAACUUGUGGAGUCCUUUCUCUUUCCAGCCAAGUCCCCUCCUGA